CACAAUUUCAAGUAAACUUUACUGUUUCAGGAAUACAGAUACAACUGACUUAUGGCUGUUAGUUUUGUUGUUUAUUUGUUUGCUGUUUCUCCCCCCCCCCCCAAAUGCAACAGAAGCAACAGGUCACAAUGAGGCAUUCCAGUGGGUCAGUUUGGCUGAGUGCAAGGACUCUUCAAGCAGAAUAUACAGAAAUUAAAGAGAAUAAGAUGUUUCUGACUUUACAGGAGAAAGGUAAUGCUGAGCACUUGAAUGUUCGAGUUGGAAGCAAUUAGAAAUAAAAGUCAGGAAGAAAUACUUCCUGUGAAUAUG
rnacentral:lncRNA from 1 species